CCAAUAGCGUAUAUUAAAGUUGUUGCAGUUAAAAAGCUCGUAGUUGAAUUUCGGGAUCAAUAUGUCGGUCGUGCCUUCGGUACGUACUGGUAUCAUUGGUUUCUCCCUUCUGACGAACCAUGAUGUCAUUAAUUUGGUGUUAUGGGGAGUUAGGACUGUUACUUUGAAAAAAUUAGAGUGUUUAAAGCAGGCUUUAGCUUGAAUACAUUAGCAUGGAAUAAUGAAAUAGGACGUUCGAACCUAUUUUGUUGGUUUCUAGGAUCAACGUAAUGAUUAAUAGGGAUAGUUGGGGGCAUUAGUAUUCAAUUGUCAGAGGUGAAAUUCUUGGAUUUAUUGAAGACUAACUACUGCGAAAGCAUUUGCCAAGGAUGUUUUCAUUAAUCAAGAACGAAAGUUAGGGGAUCGAAGACGAUCAGAUACCGUCGUAGUCUUAACCAUAAACUAUGCCGACUAGGGAUCGGAUGAUGUUAAUUUUUUAAUGACUCAUUCGGCGCCUUACG
rnacentral:rRNA from 1 species